rnacentral:rRNA from 1 species
CGUCUAUAUACGUAUAGCAUAUCAAUAAGCGGAGGAAAAGAAACUAACUAGGAUUCCCUCAGUAACGGCGAGUGAAGCGGGAAAGAGCUCAAAUUUGAAAUCUUCAAGGUUCUACCUUGACGAAUUGUAGUUUAAAGGAAGUGUUUUCUGUUGGAAGUUUUGGUAAAAGUUCUUUGGAAAUAGGACAUCAAUAGAGGGUGAGAAUCCCGUAUUUGACCAUUAUCUUCCAACUGUGUGAUACACUUUCAAAGAGUCGGAUUGUUUGGGAAUGCAGUCCAAAAUGGGUGGUAAAUUUCAUCUAAAGCUAAAUACUUGGCGAGAGACCGAUAGCGAACAAGUACCGUGAGGGAAAGAUGAAAAGAACUUUGAAAAGAGAGUUAAACAGUACGUGAAAUUGUCAAAAGGGAAGCGUUUGACACCAGUGUUGUUUUCUCGAAAAUCAAUUAAAAAUGGCUGGGAUUUUGUGUUGUAUUGACUUUAUCAGCUUUCUGCACUUUUUUCCUAUCUUUUUUAAUGCACUUUUCGUUUAACAAGUCAACAUCAAUUUCUUUUGUUGUAAAAGAGGUCAUUGGAAGGUGGCUUUCUUUUCGGAGAAAGUGUUUAUAGCCUUUGACUUCUGCAAUCGGAGAGAUUGAGGUCUGCAGCGUAGAUCCUUCGGGGUUAGAUACAGUUAGAUGCUAAGUUAUAGCCUUUUCAUAGACAACUUGUUGACUAUGAUCAGUCAUGUAGCUUACUCGCUUAUGUCAUUUUACCUACGCUUAGGAUGUUGACGAUCAGCUGAGCGCG